rnacentral:misc_RNA from 1 species
AAAUGCGAUAAGUAGUGUGAAUUGCAGAAUUCAGUGAAUCAUCGAAUCUUUGAACGCACAUUGCGCCCCUUGGUAUUCCAUGGGGCAUGCCUGUUCGAGCGUCAUUUGUACCCUCAAGCUUUGCUUGGUGUUGGGCGUCUUGUCGGAAUAUCCGACGCGCCUUAAAUACAUUGGCAGCCGGCACUUUGGCCUAGGAGCGCAGCACAUUUUGCGAUCGUAAGCCGUUGUGACAGCAUCCAUAAGAUUUAUUUUACCACGUUUGACCUCGGAUCAGGUAGGGAUACCCGCUGAACUUAAGC